rnacentral:rRNA from 1 species
CACGGGGGGAACGAGCGUUGUUCGGAUUUACUGGGCGUAAAGGGUGCGUAGGCGGGCCGGUCAGUCGGGUGUGAAAACCCGCGGCUUAACCGCGGGCUGGCAUUCGAAACUGCCGGUCUUGAGUACGGGAGAGGAAAGUGGAAUUCCAGGUGUAGCGGUGAAAUGCGUAGAUAUCUGGAGGAACACCGUUGGCGAAGGCGGCUUUCUGGACCGAUACUGACGCUGAGGCACGAAGGCCGGGGGAGCAAACAGG